rnacentral:ncRNA from 1 species
CAUUUAUUGGAAGUACUGCUUGAACUGAACCUUUACCAAAUGUUUUUUCACCAAUGAUAACUGCUCGUUUAUGAUCUUGUAAAGAACCACUAACAAUUUCUGAAGCAGAAGCUGAACCUUCAUUUACUAAAACAACUAAAGGAAGUUUUGUUUUUGUUCCAGAAGUUGUAGCUUCAAAUUUUUCUUCAUCUUCAGCAUUUCUUCCUUUUUGAGAAACAAUUACACCUUUAUCAACAAAUAAAUUUACAACACCAAUUGCUUGAUUUAAUAAACCACCUGGAUUAUUUCUU